rnacentral:lncRNA from 1 species
CCGCUACCGCCACUGCUGCGGCAGGGGCGUGGAGGGCAGAGGGCCGCGGAGGCCGCAGUUGCAAACAUGGCUCAGAGCAGAGACGGCGGAAACCCGUUCGCCGAGCCCAGCGAGCUUGACAACCCCUUUCAGGACCCAGCUGUGAUCCAGCACCGACCCAGCCGGCAGUAUGCCACGCUUGACGUCUACAACCCUUUUGAGACCCGGGAGCCACCACCAGCCUAUGAGCCUCCAGCCCCUGCCCCAUUGCCUCCACCCUCAGCUCCCUCCUUGCAGCCCUCGAGAAAGCUCAGCCCCACAGAACCUAAGAACUAUGGCUCAUACAGCACUCAGGCCUCAGCUGCAGCAGCCACAGCUGAGCUGCUGAAGAAACAGGAGGAGCUCAACCGGAAGGCAGAGGAGUUGGACCGAAGGGAGCGAGAGCUGCAGCAUGCUGCCCUGGGGGGCACAGCUAGACAUCUCCAUGGAGAUCCCCCAAGAAUUUCAGAAGACUGUAUCCACCAUGUACUACCUCUGGAUGUGCAGCACGCUGGCUCUUCUCCUGAACUUCCUCGCCUGCCUGGCCAGCUUCUGUGUGGAAACCAACAAUGGCGCAGGCUUUGGGCUUUCUAUCCUCUGGGUCCUCCUUUUCACUCCCUGCUCCUUUGUCUGCUGGUACCGCCCCAUGUAUAAGGCUUUCCGGAGUGACAGUUCAUUCAAUUUCUUCGUUUUCUUCUUCAUUUUCUUCGUCCAGGAUGUGCUCUUUGUCCUCCAGGCCAUUGGUAUCCCAGGUUGGGGAUUCAGUGGCUGGAUCUCUGCUCUGGUGGUGCCGAAGGGCAACACAGCAGUAUCCGUGCUCAUGCUGCUGGUCGCCCUGCUCUUCACUGGCAUUGCUGUGCUAGGAAUUGUCAUGCUGAAACGGAUCCACUCCUUAUACCGCCGCACAGGUGCCAGCUUUCAGAAGGCCCAGCAAGAAUUUGCUGCUGGUGUCUUCUCCAACCCUGCGGUGCGAACCGCAGCUGCCAAUGCAGCCGCUGGGGCUGCUGAAAAUGCCUUCCGGGCCCCGUGACCCCUGACUGGGAUGCCCUGGCCCUGCUACUUGAGGGAGCUGACUUAGCUCCCGUCCCUAAGGUCUCUGGGACUUGGAGAGACAUCACUAACUGAUGGCUCCUCCGUAGUGCUCCCAAUCCUAUGGCCAUGACUGCUGAACCUGACAGGCGUGUGGGGAGUUCACUGUGACCUAGUCCCCCCAUCAGGCCACACUGCUGCCACCUCUCACACGCCCCAACCCAGCUUCCCUCUGCUGUGCCACGGCUGUUGCUUCGGUUAUUUAAAUAAAAAGAAAGUGGAACUG